CACGUAGGGUGCGAGCGUUUGUCCGGAAUUAUUGGGCGUAAAGAGCUCGUAGGCGGUGUGUCGCGUCGGCCGUGAAAACUUGGGGGCUUAACUCUGAGCGUGCGGUCGAUACGGGCAUCACUUGAGUUCGGCAGGGGAGACUGGAAUUCCUGGUGUAGCGGUGAAAUGCGCAGAUAUCAGGAGGAACACCGGUGGCGAAGGCGGGUCUCUGGGCCGAUACUGACGCUGAGGAGCGAAAGCAUGGGGGAGCGAACAGG
rnacentral:rRNA from 1 species